AAGCUGGAUGCUUACCUACGGCGAGUGAAGCGGCAAAAGCUCAAAUUUGAAAUCUGGUACCUUCGGUGCCCGAGUUGUAAUUUGUAGAGGGCGACUUUGGGGCGGCUCCUUGUCUAUGUUCCUUGGAACAGGACGUCAUAGAGGGUGAGAAUCCCGUGUGGCGAGGAGUGCGGUUCCGUGUAAAGCGCUCUCGAAGAGUCGAGUUGUUUGGGAAUGCAGCUCUAAGUGGGUGGUAAAUUCCAUCUAAAGCUAAAUAUUGGCGAGAGACCGAUAGCGAACAAGUACAGUGAUGGAAAGAUGAAAAGAACUUUGAAAAGAGAGUGAAAAAGUACGUGAAAUUGUUGAAAGGGAAGGGCAUUUGAUCAGACAUGGUGUUUUGUGCCCCUCGCUCCUUGUGGGUGGGGGAAUCUCGCAGCUCACUGGGCCAGCAUCAGUUUUGGCGGUCGGAUAAAACUAGAGGAACGUAGCUUGCUUCGGGAAGUAUUAUAGCCUCUGGUAAUACGGCCAGCCGGGACUGAGGAACGCGAUUCGUCAAGGAUGCUGGCAUAAUGGUUAUAUGCCGCCCGUCUUGAACCACGGGACCA
rnacentral:rRNA from 1 species